rfam:Aedes aegypti strain Liverpool supercont1.395 genomic scaffold, whole genome shotgun sequence.
GGGUUGGUGGUCUAAUGGCUACCGCUUCUGCUUCAUAAGCAGAUGUUUAUAGGUUCAAAUCCAAUCCUGUCCC